UACGUAGGGGGCGAGCGUUGUCCGGAUUUAUUGGGCGUAAAGAGCUCGUAGGCGGUCUGUUGCGUCCGCUGUGAAAACUCGGGGCUUAACCCCGAGCCUGCAGUGGAUACGGGCAGACUAGAGGUAGGUAGGGGAGAAUGGAAUUCCCGGUGUAGCGGUGAAAUGCGCAGAUAUCGGGAGGAACACCGGUGGCGAAGGCGGAUCUCUGGGCCGAUACUGACGCUGAGGAGCGAAAGCGUGGGGAGCGAACAGG
rnacentral:rRNA from 1 species